CCUACGGGAGGCAGCAGUGGGGACUAUUGCACAAUGGGGGGAACGCUGAUGCAGCGACGCCGCGUGAGUGAAGAAGUAUUUCGGUAUGUAAAGCUCUAUCAGCCGGGAAGAAAAUGACGGUCACUGACUAAGAAGCCCCGGCUAACUACGUGCCAGCAGCCGCGGUACUAAGUAGGGGGCACGCGUUAUCCGGAUUGACUGGGUGUAAAGGGAGCGCAGACGGCUGUGCAAGUCUGGAGGGAAAGGCGGGGGCCCAACCCCCGGACUGCUCUGGAAACUGUAAAGCUGGAGUGCAGGAGAGGUAAGCGGAAUGCCUGGUGUAGCGGUGAAAUGCGUAGAGAUUAGGAGGAACACCAGUGGCGAAGGCGGCUUACUGGACUGCAACUGACGUUGAGGCUCGAAAGCGUGGGGAGCAAACAGGAUUAGAUACCCCGGUAGUC
rnacentral:rRNA from 1 species